CUGGUUCUAGUCUGCCAUGUUCUUGAUAAAAACCAAACUGAAAACAAGCUGUAUACAGCACAUGCUGUUAGUUAUAUUUACUGUAUUAUCAUCUUUAGUUAUGCAGUAAAGAUGGUUCCCGGAGAAGAAGGCAGAUGUUUUACAUGUCCCCAUCCGAUUGUGUUUUUUUGUUUGUAACUUAUUUUUUACUUAUUUUGUACAUAAUGUUGCCGCUACCGUCUCUUAUUACCAGACAUAACUUCUGGACAUCAGGACUGCUGUUACUCACCACGGACAGGCAGAAUCCUUUUUUUCCCAUUAAUGAGUCUGACGAGCCCGACGCGAACAAUAUACUGCUUUCUCGGGAACAGGCCCAGAUCCCCGUGAUUUGCGUGAAGAGGAGUUGGAGAAAAAGGGGCCAGAUGGCGGGCUGCCUUCGGAGAAUUGAGUCGUGGCUGAAUGAUGACAAUAUCAACAUACAGCUGGCUGGUUAUACGCUGUACCGGCAGGACAGAACAGCGGUGUCUGCUACCUGCAGCAUGCUGAGGCUUCAUGGGACCCGUUUUCAUCAGGAAGGGAUCUCCUCCCUCGAAGGCCAGGAUUGGGUCGCUGACGAUGCCACUCCCCGGUUUUCCCGGCCCACCGUUGCUGCUCCUGCUGUGAUUGGACAGCUGGAUGAUCUGCUCAAAUUCAGCUGCCUUCCCGUUGGCUGAGAGGCCAUUCUGGUGCAUGGCUGGCCGGACAACAUUCAGCACAGGGCUGGAUUCUGCUUCAAUCUGCUGCAUUUUAGGAGCUGCAUGAAAAAAAACAAAAGUUGCUCUCUUUAAAAUGACAAAUAAAAUGGUCCUAGACUGAG